CCCUUAGAUGUUCUGGGCAGCACGCGCGCUACAAUGGUCUUCGCAAACGGAUGCAUUCUCGAAGGAGAAUGCCAAUCUUGGAAUCUAUGCCUUGGUCGGGACAGUUGCUUGCAAUUUUUCGACUCGAACCAGGAAUUCCUUGUAAUCGUGAUUCAUCACAUCACGAUGAAUACGUCCCUGCCCUUUGUACACACCGCCCGUCGCUCCUACCGAUCGAAGAGUUAGGUGAAUUGUUUUGAUCGAUAAGAUUUGACUAUGGUCAACUCUCGUUGUGAAAUUCUGUGAAUCUGACUGUUUAGAGGAAAGAAAAGUCGUAACA
rnacentral:rRNA from 1 species